rnacentral:misc_RNA from 1 species
GAUGAGGAGUCUCCUGGAGUUUUUGAUUCCUCUUAGAAGAGACUGAAGCGGAUGUCAUAUUAACCAUAACUGGGAUUCUUGGAGCAGCAGUUCUUUCAUCAGUUUGAGAAAAGUAUUCACGAAGUCCAGCCACACUGUUCAACAUCUGCAACAGACAAUGUUGCUGAAAUGACGAGACAUAGCCCACACCCCAUCCUUUUAAAUCGAUCUGCAUAAGAUGUUGCACUUGUGUUCUGG